UGCUCGGCCAUUAACCUUGACCCCUCCCCCCACCCUCCGGGUCCGCCAGAGUACUACACGCACAAGCGUAAAACUCCAAGGACUUGACGGUAUCCUAACACCCUAGAGGAGCCUGUCCCCUAAUCGACACCCCACGCUAAACCUCACCCCCUUUAGCCCCAGUCAGCCUAUAUACCGCCGUCGAAAGCCCACCUCAUGAGAGCACCCCCGUGGACAAAAUAGCAAGCCCUCAAGCACGUCAGGUCAAGGUGUAGCUAAUAAGGGGGGAGACGAUGGGCUACACUCUCUAACCUAGAGCCCCGCAAGCCAUAUGAAACACACCCCAAAGAAGGAUUUAGCAGUAAACUUAACAAGCACUGUUAACUUGAAACUCCGCCCUAGGAUGCGUACAC
rnacentral:rRNA from 1 species